rnacentral:rRNA from 1 species
CCUACGGGCGGCUGCAGUGGGGAAUAUUGGACAAUGGGGGCAACCCUGAUCCAGCCAUGCCGCGUGUGUGAAGAAGGCCCUCGGGUUGUAAAGCACUUUCAGUGAGGAAGAACGCCUGGUGGUUAAUACCCAUCAGGAAAGACAUCACUCACAGAAGAAGCACCGGCUAACUCCGUGCCAGCAGCCGCGGUAAUACGGAGGGUGCGAGCGUUAAUCGGAAUUACUGGGCGUAAAGCGCGCGUAGGUGCCUUGAUAAGCCGGUUGUGAAAGCCCCGGGCUCAACCUGGGAACGGCAUCCGGAACUGUCAAGCUAGAGUGCAGGAGAGGAAGGUAGAAUUCCCGGUGUAGCGGUGAAAUGCGUAGAGAUCGGGAGGAAUACCAGUGGCGAAGGCGGCCUUCUGGACUGACACUGACACUGAGGUGCGAAAGCGUGGGUAGCAAACAGGAUUAGAUACCCUUGUAGUC